AUUGAACGCUGGCGGCAGGCUUAACACAUGCAAGUCGAGCGAGCGGCGGACGGGUGAGUAACGUCUGGGAAACUGCCUGAUGGAGGGGGAUAACUACUGGAAACGGUAGCUAAUACCGCAUACCAUCAGAUGUGCCCAGAUGGGAUUAGCUAGUAGGUGGGGUAAUGGCUCACCUAGGCGACGAUCCCUAGCUGGUCUGAGAGGAUGACCAGCCACACUGGAACUGAGACACGGUCCAGACUCCUACGGGAGGCAGCAGUGGGGAAUAUUGCACGGUGAACGCAAGCAUGAUGCAGCCAUGCCACGUGUGUGAAGAAGGCCUUCGGGUUGUAAAGCACUUUCAGCGAGAGAGCGGUACUCGCAGAAGAAGCACCGGCUAACUCCGUGCCAGCAGCCGCGGUAAUUC
rnacentral:rRNA from 1 species